rnacentral:rRNA from 1 species
GAUCCUGGCUCAGGAUGAACGCUAGCUACAGGCUUAACACAUGCAAGUCGAGGGGCAGCAUUUUAGUUUGCUUGCAAACUAAAGAUGGCGACCGGCGCACGGGUGAGUAACACGUAUCCAACCUGCCGAUAACUCAGGGAUAGCCUUUCGAAAGAAAGAUUAAUACCUGAUGGCAUAGGAUUAUCGCAUGAUAAUCCUAUUAAAGAAUUUCGGUUUAUCGAUGGGGGAUGCGUUCCCAUUAGG